rnacentral:rRNA from 1 species
AUUGCACGCUGGCGGCAGGCCUAACCCAUGCAAGUCGAGCGGAGCGGCGGACGGGUGAGUAAUGCCUAGGAAUCUGCCUGGUAGUGGGGGAUAACGUCCGGAAACGGGCGCUAAUACCGCAUACUAUCAGAUGAGCCUAGGUCGGUUUAGCUAGUUGGGGGGGUAAAGGCCUACCAAGGCGACGAUCCGUAACUGGUCUGAGAGGAUGAUCAGUCACACUGGACCUGAUACACGGUCCAGACUACUACGGGAGGCAGCAGUUGGGAAGAUUGGACAAGUGGCGAAAGCCUGAGCCAGACAUGCCGCGUGUGUGAAGAAGGUCUUCGGAUUGUAAAGCUCUUUAAGUUGGGAGGCGUUACCAACAGAAUAAGCACCGGCUAACUUCGUGCCAGCAGCCGCGGUAAUAC